ensembl:ncRNA T05A1.17 ncRNA
AAAGAGCACUGUAGAUCAUUAAAUCAAUUAUCCUGAAAAUUAAUAUUUCAAAAUGGUAAAAAUUUUGUCAAAAAAUUUCC